rnacentral:rRNA from 1 species
CCUACGGGAGGCAGCAGUGGGGAAUAUUGGGCAAUGGACGAAACUCUGACCCAGCAACGCCGCGUGAAUGAUGAAGGUCUUCGGAUUGUUAAGUUCUUUUCUUAGGGAAGCAGAACGUGACGGUACCUUUGGAAUAAGCCUCGGCUACCUACGUGCCAGCAGCAGCGGUAAUACGUAGGAGGCAAGCGUUAUCCGGAUUGACUGGGCGUAAAGGGUGCGUAGGUGUAGUGACAAUUUGGUAGCGUAACUCCGGGGCUCAACCUGGGAACUGCUACCAAUACUGUCGGACUUGAGAGCAGGAGGGGCAAACGGAAUGCAUAGUGUAGCGGGGGAAUGCGUAGAUAUUAGGAGGAACACCAGUUGCGAAGGCGAUUUGCGGGACUGUAACUGACACUGAGGCACGAAAGCGUGGGGAGCAAACAGGAUUAGAUACCCUAGUAGUC